UGACCCAUCCUAGGUGUGUGUUGUGCAGU
rnacentral:piRNA from 1 species